rnacentral:rRNA from 1 species
UGGGGAAUAUUGCACAAUGGGCGCAAGCCUGAUGCAGCGACGCCGCGUGGGGGAUGACGGCCUUCGGGUUGUAAACUCCUUUCGCCAGGGACGAAGCGUUUUGUGACGGUACCUGGAGAAGAAGCACCGGCUAACUACGUGCCAGCAGCCGCGGUAAUACGUAGGGUGCAAGCGUUGUCCGGAAUUACUGGACGUAAAGAGCUCGUAGGUGGUUUGUCACGUCGUCUGUGAAAUUCCACAGCUUAACUGUGGGCGUGCAGGCGAUACGGGCUGACUUGAGUACUGUAGGGGUAACUGGAAUUCCUGGUGUAGCGGUGAAAUGCGCAGAUAUCAGGAGGAACACCGAUGGCGAAGGCAGGUUACUGGGCAGUUACUGACGCUGAGGAGCGAAAGCAUGGGUAGCAAACAGGAUUAGAUACCCUGGUAGUCCAUGCCGUAAACGGUGGGCGCUAGGUGUAGGGGCCUUUUGGGGUUUCUGUGCCGUAGCUAACGCAUUAAGCGCCCCGCCUGGGGAGUACGGCCGCAAGGCUA